rnacentral:lncRNA from 1 species
UUGGCACAUAUUUGUUUUGUUUUUUAUUACAAUCAGAGAACACAGGCACCCAGUGCGGCCUUAUCAAGGAGCAGACGAAUGCGCCUAACCAACCUUCCCUGGGAAUAUAUGAGAUAUCCUCAAUAGCCCUUCCCAGAAACAUAUACCUCUUUUUCAUCCAUCAUGGAGGAGUUACUAUCACCCAAAAACAAUCCUCCCUUUGCAGCGCUGCAUUUAGAAACAAACACUCAUUGGCAGACACACAAGGAUUUUUUCAUUAUCAUAUGUAGGUCACACCACCAAAUUUUGCUCUUGAGAAACCCGUUCUUUCAUCAUUAUCCCAACAAUCUGUUGAGGAUGACGGGGACAACUGAAGGUUGGGCCUGUUUAAAGAAAAAUAAAACAGUCCACCUCAUUUAACGUGUAAGCGUCUGCACCCUUGGGUUCUUACUUCUUUAAAAAAAAAAAAAUCAGAAGUCAACUCUUGGCAGAUAUGGCUUUAAACGUAAUAUAUUACCCUCUUACACAUGUCCGAAACUUCAGAAUCCAGUUAAAUUAGAUUCUUUCAUUUUCUCUUUUCAAGUGUGUCAAACAAGGGGUCAUAUUUUAAAGACAAACUACUGACUUAAGCACAGGGAAGCAGGAGUUAGUAUCCUUCUCAGUGAUAACAUUGAUCACUGCCUGUAGAGAAAAUGCAUAUUAUCAAUAUAUAAUUGUCAUUAGAUAAAUCUUUAUAUUGGUCUAUAAGGACAGCAUGCCACUUGAGGGAAGCUAAACCCAUAUAAAUCAAAGGAGGACCAUCUCUCAAUACCCGUUACAUACAAUAGAGUAAAGAUUAUAAAAUAUUCCAAUAAUAUCUUAAGUAAUAAUUUGGAAUUCUUUGUUAUAAAAAUAAUGAUUAAUUACACCAUGCUCUGAUCCUUCUAUUUUUGCUACUGUAAUUGUUUGUGAACUUUAAGAUGAUCUGUACAUUAAACCCCAGUAAAAGAGCUUGUUUUUGUUUUGUUAUUUGGCAAUGGAGGCCCCAGGAACCAUCUUCAUCUUAUAGGUGAUAUGUAAUAUCCUCAUAUAAUGAGGCAAUUUCUAAACGACAAAGGCAUUUCAAUCUAGCUCCUUUGUUGCUGUGUAGUGCUUACAAGGCAUUACAAAAUCAAGAAAAAAGUAUCCUACAUGGACCAUACCCACCCGUUCUAUGGCAGAGGGAUCAUUUUUGAAAUCUCUUUGGCGCUGGAAGGAAAACUGGCACGAUUCUUUGUCAAUCCACCCAGCUUUGGUAAGGUUAGAAUUGCUUAUAUUACUGUUGAUACAGUAAAUAUUGUACCUGAAAAUCUCACUGAUCUGAGAGGUGUUCUACUGAUGUCCCUAUAUAUUUCCUUCUGCCUCUUAUAUGGUCCGAACCUAACUCUUUUAUGCACUGGGCUUGCCUUGUAAUGCACUGGUAGCCUAUACAGUCACAAAGGAGUUAAAAACCUGCAUUCGACAUAUAGAUAUAACAAAAAUUAUUAGGAAAGUUGAUAAUUUAUGUAGCAAAAUACAUAACAUAAGUUAAGAAACAUAGAAUCUACAUGGUUUAACUGCUACAUUUCUUAAAGAUAAUGUAAUAGCAAAUUGUAUACAUUUCCAAUGUUUCUGUUCAAAAAAGGUGGGACACUCAACAAUAAAACCCACUUAUAUUGUGAAAUAAGAUUGAGCGAAAAAGAGAGAGAAAGAGAGUAAACAGGGUAGUCUAUAAGGUGAUACUCUUAAAAAAGGAUGAUACAAUGCUUUGAAAGCUUGGUGGGUGGACUUUCAUUCUCACCCAACUUCUGGUUUCUCAAAUCUCUAUUUAUAGCCACUUGUCUAUCACAAUCACACCAUGUACUUCACAAAAUUCAGGAAUGCUGAUUCAUGUGACCACAUUGAUAAAAGGACAUGGAGACUUUGGGCUACCAUUUUGUAAUACACACCACUGAUUGAUGCUCAACAGAUCAAAGUUAGUGCCACACCAUCAAUGGUAGGGUGGCCACCGACACAGUGCACAAUCGAUCAUUUGAACACUUACGCUCAAUUCCAAGAUACUAUUUCCAUUUUUGCAUUGCUUAGAUUCUUUUCCAGAAAGUCUCUAAACUAUUUUAUAUAAAGUCUCUCUUACGAGAACUUUAAUUGAUACACAGUGUUAAUAUAAGUUCAUUUACAAUCCUAUAAAAAUGUGCUCAAAGAAUGAGUCUUGGCACACAAUUUUUUGUUUUUUUUCUUCUUUUUUUUUCUGUCUUCUAAAUAUAUUGUUAUGUACAUUUCAGUAUGAUGGUACUUCUUUUCCAAGUGCUUAGUGAAGAUGAGAUGAAAUGAAAGUUGGUAACUUGCAAUAGCAAGUCCUUAUGAUGGUCAAGGAUAUUCACAGCAUAACCAUAUUUCAUCAAACACCUUGACAUAUGACACACUUGCACAACUGAGGAGAAAGGCACUCCCUGACGUUACUUGGUUGAAGCAAAGGAAAUGUUAUCUUAGUUCAAUCAGAAUGCUAAAUUGUGCCUGUUUCAAUUCAUUUAAUAUGUUGAAGAGAAAACAAUUAAAAUAAUAAAACAACAAAAUCAAGUGCUAUAGUAUGUUUACAACAUAUGGUAUAUUUAUAUUUCAUCCUGUAGAAUAUAUUUUAUUGAAACCCUUCUAUAAGGCACGUUUUUAGGUAUGCUGACUUCUAAAUAGUGCUUUGAAAACAUGCCUAAAGUCCAUGUUAAGGAAACAGAUAAAGUAAAGUUUGUUUUGUUCAAGAAAAACUGAUUUAACACACAUUAAAAUGUUUACUUUCUAGGUUAUGAACACAGGUGUGAGAAGUUUAGGAAGCUAUUUUUUUUAAAAUAAAAAAUACUGGCAUCAAAGAAAUAAAAGAUUUUUACAAACUUAGUUUAAUCUACGUACUUAGAACUAGUCAAUGUAUAGUGCCUGGCACAAGUAUUAAACCCAUCUCAGUCAUGUCCCUUUUAGACAUGAAAACAUUUGAAAAAUAUAUAUUUUUAAAUAUUUUAUUGGGAUAUUUACCGUUUGAUUUACUCAACUUUUUAAAGGUGAAAAUAUUUUUUUGUGACACAGAAGUUAAAACACACGCACAAAUGUUGGUUGUACAAGUAUUUAUCCCCUCACUUUAGUAUGCUCUAGACUAGAGCAUCAAAUUGUCUUCAGAAUUCAUAUGAAAAGUUACAUAAAAUUCCUUCUAUGUCAUAUAUUUUUACGGUUCACGGAAACAUGUUGAAAACAUAUGUCCCAAAUGAAGUUUGUCAAGAGACAUGCUGGAGGUGCAGAAGAUAUGUCAAUAAAUUUCUCUCUGGUUUAAUUAGAUUAAAAUUUUACUUUUGCCCUCAGAGCACACUAUCAUCAUGCUGAAGUAGGUGGUGGUAUCAACAUGCUUUGGGGGAUACAGCAAAAACAAAGAAAUUGGUCAGGAUUAAUGACGAAGUGGAUCAAGCCAUGUAGAGGGCAAUUUCGGAGUUGAAAUAUUCUCAGUUUGAUUAUCUAAGAAUGAUCAAAGCAUUGAAAUUUCCACUCAACACCAGCCACCGCGCAACAUAAUAAAGCCUAAUCUAUUCUAUCUAAAAGAUCAAGAUGUACAAGGCUGGUAGACAUCAACUCCAAAAGUGUCGUUGCUGAAAUUGAAGCCAAAUCUGGUUCUACCAAGUAUUGCCUCAGAGGAAGGGAGUAGUUAUACAACAAAUGUAUUUCUAUUUUUAAUUCAGAUUUGUGUAAAAAAUAUAUAAUUUGAAACUUUUAUGCUGGGUAAAACAAUCUGUAAAAGUCUCAAUAAAACAUGUUUUAAUUCCAACUUGUAAUACAAAUACAUGUGGGGGUGAAUGUAAAGCCCUCUGAUGUACAUUAUAAGAUUUCCAAUUUCGUUACUGGAAAGAAAUUUAAAAAUUGCAGACUUUAUAGUCUAAAACUGGGCUUCUGGCAACUCAGUGGAAGUUUAAGUAAAUAUGUUACUGAUUACCAGGGAGGUCUGGAAUUUUGCAUCUCAAAUAAUUAUACAUUUCCCAAAACAUUUACCUGUUUAUUCUAUGAUCGAAGCUAUAGAUUGCUUCCACUGCUAUUUAUUUCCUGAAACUUUUUUAGGUUGUUCUGUUGGGUACAGAAAGCAAUGGAAUUGAUCUCAUUACCCAGAUCAUCGGAUGUCUUUGAUAGAGCUGAGUUCAAAAGAGGAAUUGUAGAACGACACAUUUCUUACAUGAAUACAUCAUCAAAGACUGUGUCCAUAUGACUGACUAUCCUCUUAAUGAAAUGUUAAAAAUGGAAAAUAGGGUAAGUCAAAUGCUAUAAGUGGGAGGAUUAAGAUAUAUUCCUGCAAAAAAUAAUAACAUUUUUAAUGUUUGUAACCUUUCAUGCUGCUGCUAUUUGAAACUAAUAUACAGUUGCAAGAAAAAGUAUGUGAACCCUUUGGAAUGAUAUGGAUUUUUGCACAAAUUGGUCAUAAAAUGUGAUCUGAUCAUCAUCUAAGUCACAACAAUAGACAGUCACAGUCUGCUUAAACUAAUAACACACAAAGAAUGAAAUGUUGCCAUGUUUUUAUUGAACACACCAUGUAAACAUUCACAGUGCAGGUGGAAAAAGUAUGUGAACCCCUAGACUAAUGACAUCUCCAAGAGCUAAUUGGAGUGAGAUGUCAGCCAACUGGAGUCCAAUCAAGGAGAUGAGAUUGGAGGUGUUGGUUACAGCUGCCCUGCCCUAUAAACAACACACACCAGUUCUGGGUUUGUUUUUCACAAGAAGCAUUGCCUGAUGUGAAUGAUGCCUCGCACAAAAGAGCUCUCAGAAGACCUACGAUUAAGAAUUGUUGUCUUGCAUAAAGCUGGAAAGGGUUAUAAAAGUAUCUCCAAAAGCCUUGCUGUUCAUCAGUCCACGGUAAGACAUUUUGUCUAUAAAUGGAGAAAGUUCAGCACUGCUGCUACUCUCCCUAGGAGUGGCCGUCCUGUAAAGAUGACUGCAAGAGCACGGCGCAGACUGCUCAAUGAGGUGAAGAAGAAUCCUAGAGUGUCAGCUAAAGACUUACAAAAGUCACUGGCAAAUGCUAACAUCCCUGUUAGCGAAUCUACAAUACGUAAAACACUAAACAAGAAUGGAUUUCAUGGGAGGAUACCACAGAGGAAGCCACUGCUGUCCAAACAAAACAUUGCUGCACGUUUACAGUUUGCACAAGAGCACCUGGAUGUUCCACAGCAGUACUGGCAAAAUAUUCAGAGUUGAGUUGUUUGGAAGAAACACACAACACUAUUUGUGGCGGAAAAAAGGCACAGCACACCAACGUCAAAACCUCAUCCCAACUGUGAAGUAUGGUGGUGGGGGCAUCAUGGUUUGGGGCUGCUUUGCUGUGUCAGGGCCUGCAUGGAUUGCUAUCAUCGAAGGAAAAAUGAAUUCCCAAGUUUAUCAAGACAUUUUGGAGGAGAACUUAAGGCCAUCUGUCUACCAGCUGAAGUUCAACAGAAGAUGGGUGUUGCAACAGGACAAUGACCCAAAGCAUAGAAGUAAAUCAACAACAGAAUGGCUUAAACAGAAGAAAAUACACCUUUUGAAGUGGCCCAGAGUCCUGACCUCAACCCGAUUGAGAUGCUGUGGCAUGACCUCAAGAAAGUGAUUCACACCAGUCAUCCCAAGAAUAUUGCUGAACUGAAACAGUUCUGUAAAGAGGAAUGGUCAAGAAUUACUCCUGACUGUUGUGCACGUCUGAUCUGCAACUACAGGAAACGUUUGGUUGAAGUUAUUGCUGC